rnacentral:rRNA from 1 species
CUGCUGCCUCCCGUAGGAGUCUGGGCCGNGUCUCAGUCCCAAUGUGGCCGUCCACCCUCUCAGGCCGGCUACUGAUCGUCGCCUUGGUGUGCUUUUACCACUCCAACUAGCUAAUCAGACGCGGGUCCAUCUCAUACCAGAUUUCUCCUUUUCACACUAAAACAUGCGUUUCCGUGCGCUUAUGCGGUUUUACCACCAGUUUCCCGAUGCUAUCCCCCUGUAUGAGGCAGGUUGCCCACGCGUUACUCACCCGUCCG